rnacentral:lncRNA from 1 species
AUUUGGUAAUAAUAAUAAUAAAACAAUCUUUUAUUAUAUCUUAAUAUUGAGGUAAAAUAUAUACAAAGAAAAGCACAGAUCUAAUGUAUUUAUUUGAAUGAGAUUUGGCAAAUACAUAUGUGUAGUUACACAAAAUCAUAUGGAGAUAUAGAACAUUCUCAUCAACCUUGAAAGUUGUCUAUGACGCAUUCAAAUUUAAUUCCAACCCUUCAGGGGCAAUCAUUAUGCUGACAUCUACCAAUUUAAGACUUGCCUGUUUUUUCUCAUUUAAGAAGCAUUUAUUGUUAUAAAUGCACUCAGGCACUGUAAGACAUAACAUAAAUGAAAUAAUUUUCAGAUAAAAGCAACUGCUUAUUAUUUUAUCCUGCCUUUAUAUUAUUUUUAUAAACUGCCUUCAGAAGGUAUCAUUCAUUACCAUACCAGUUGGGUGGUCUGUAAUAUAUUCCCACAAGGUUUGUCUUCCCUUUAUUUCUUCUUUUGUUCUUACAAACAUGUAUUCUACAGUGUUGCUGCUUCUAAGUUCAUUGAUUUUCUCUUAUGUAUUAUUUUGAUAUGCAAUGCUUUUUUUUUUUUUGAGAUGGAAUCUCCCUCAUUGUGUCACCCAGGCUGAAGCGCCUGCAACCUCCACCUCCCAGGCUCAAGUGAUUCUUCUGCCUCAGCCCCCAAUUAGGUGAGAUUACAGGUGUGUGCCACCAUAUCCAGCUACUUUUUGUAUUUUUAGUAGAGAUGGGGUUUCACCAUGUUGGCCAGGCUGGUCUCGAACCCCUGACCUCAAGUGAUUCGCCCAUCUUAGCCUCCCAAAGUGCUGGUACUACAGGCAUGAGCCACCAUGCCCACUCUUGAUAUACAAUGCUUCUUAACCCCCUUCCUAAUAAGAUCAUUUCUUUUUAACAAUGUAUAUAAUAUUCUGGACUGAAGUUCAAUCCCACAAAUUAUCAGUGAUGAUAACAAUUUAUAAUUACCAUUCUUGGUUAAAAUCUCAACUUAACAUGAGCAUUGGCACAAAUUCUAUAAACAAGCCACUUUUAAAAGCCCCAAUAAAGUUGACUAUAUAAUUAAAGUGACCUAGUUCAAAUAGAAACAAGUGACAGUAGAAGUGAAUUAAUAUUAUAUGUGCUACAUGGUAGUGUAGUUAUGAUACUCAUAAUUUUGUAUUGCCAUUGUAGAUAUUUUCUUCUAGUGCUUUCAAGUUACCAACAGAUAUUUAUAUUCAAGAUUUAAGAAAAAUAUUUCAGAAUUCCCAGGAAUUCUUUAAAUUAAAGUUGUUCUUAAAGUUUAUCCAACAUUCUUCACACUGCUUACUCAUUAUAGACAUGGUUUGAUGGUUAAGAAACAUUGAGUUUAUCACAUUUACAAAGAACUGUAGGUUGUGAAUAUUCAUACUCUCAGAAAUAUGCUAGUUAUUAGCAGGUGAACAAUUAAAAUUUCGGAUCUCCUUAGCAAAGUUAACAGUUCUAUACAGAACUGUAAACCAAAAUUGCCAAUUUCAGAACUUAUUUGCUUCCAAACUUGUUAUUUCCUGAAACACCACUCAUAGGAUUUAUAUAUAUAUUCACUUGUACGUCUAUUAAACUUAAUUUUUGGCUCUACAUGUCAGCAUUUUCUGGUCUUUGCUUUAGACUUCUAACCAGCAAUGUUACUAUUUUGAAUCCCAAGGUUUAAUUCUUACAAAAGAAUGUAAAGACUAUAAUACUUUUUUUUUUUUUUUGCCAGGCACAGUGGCUCACGCCUGUAAUUCCAGAACUUUGGGAGGCUGAAGAGGGUGGAUCACCCUGAGAUCAGGAGUUCAAGACUAGCCUGACCAACAUAGUGAAACCCUGUCUCUACUAAAAAUACAAAAAUUAGCUGGGCAUGGUGGAGGGCACCCGUAAUCCCAGCUACUCGGGAGGCCGAGGCAAGAGAAUCACUUGAACCUGGGAGGUGGAGGUUGCAGUGAGCUGGGAUUGCAUCAUUGCACUCCAGCCUGGGUGACAAGUGUGAAACUCCAUCUCAAGAAAAAAAAUAAAAAUAAACAAAAACACUGGCCAAGCUCUCAAUGUUAAGUAGAAAUGGUGAAGACAGACAUCCUUGCCUUCUCCUAACCUUAAGGAGAAAACAUCCAAUAUUUUACCAUUAGAGAUGAUGUUUAUCAGCGGCAUACCAAGGAUUGUGGCAGUGGGAGUGGUUCAUCUGAGGAGGAGGGAGUGUUUAUCUCUGACUCUGUUUAAAAUUGCCAGCACAUAGUGAUAAUAUACAGUACAGCUUUUUAAGCCACUUUUAUUAUUAUUCUUAAAUUCUCUACAAUUGGGGGACCUAUUUAUUGCUUACAACUGGGGUGAACUCCUUCCAAUAACCUCCUUCCACUUCAGUACACCACUAAGAUAUGCUUUAAGUUGAAUAUAGUGCCCUUUAUCAUAUUGAGAGGGAGAGCUUCUCUUCCUUGCAGGUGGAGAAGUUUUAUAAUAAAUGGGUUUUGGAUUUGUCAAAUACUUUCUCUGUUGAGAUGAUCAUAUAGUGAAUUACACUGACUAAUUUUAAUACAAAACAUAUCCUGAAUGUGUGUCUCAUUUGACCUUAAUGUAUAAUCUAUUUAACAUAUUUUUGGACUGAGUUUAUGACUACUUGGUUAGAGAUUUUUAUGCCUAUGUCUAUGAAGGAUGUUAGACUGUAAGUAAACUUUUUUAUAAUGUUCUUCCCAGGUUUUAGUAUCACAGUUAUCUUAGGCUCAUAAAAGAAGUUGGGAAGUGUUUUCUCUGCUUCUCUUGUCUUAAAACAUUUUUGUAGAAUGUAUAAUUUGUAGAUGUUUAAUAGCAUUUACCUGUGAAGCCACCUGGACCAGCAGUGUACUUUUUGGAAAGGUUUUUCAUUAAAAAUUUGAUUGCUUUAACAUAGGAGUCAACAAACUUCAGCAAAGAGCCAGGAAAUGAAUAUUGUAAGUUUUAUAUGCCUUAAGAUCUUUAUUGCAACUCCUUGUCUGUACCACUAUAGGACAAAGGCAGUCAAAGAUCAUUCUUACCAAUGGAUGUGGUUGUAUGCCAACAAACUUCACUUACAGAAUCAGAAGUGGUAAUCUAGUCUCCCAGUCCAGGAAUCAAAGCAAGUGUGUUUAACUUAUAUUUGUUUAGUUAUUCAGUUAAUUAUUUGUGCUACUUUCUUAUUGAGAUACAAUUUACAAACCAUGACAUGCACCUUUUAAGGUGUACAAUAUAGUGGUUUUCAGUAUUUUGAUAAGCUUGUGCAACCCUCACCACUUGUUAAUUCCGGAACAACUUCAUUACUCCCAUGAAGAACCCCUAUACCUGAUGGCACUCAAUCCUUCCUCCUACCUUUACUUCUCCCUUGGCAACCACUAACCUGCUUUUUAUGAAUUGACUUAUUCUGGACACUUUAUAUUAAUUAAAGUAUAUAAUAUGUGGCUCAUUGCAUCUGACUUCUUUCAUGCAGAAUUAUGUUUUCAAAGCUCAUCCAUGUUGUAGGGUGGGAUCUUUUUUUUUUUUUUACUUUUUAUGUAUGAAUAAUAUUUCACUGAAUGGAUACAUCACAUUUUGUUUAUCCAUUUAUCCAUUGGUGAACAUUUGGAUGUUUCUAGUUUGUAUGUACUAUUAUUAAUCCUACUAUGAACAUUUAUGUGCAAAUUUUGUGUUAAAAUGUUUUCAAUUACCUUGAGUAUAAUUCUUAAAGUGGAACUGAUGAGUCACAUGAUAACUCUAUGUUUAACUCUUCAAGGAACUGCCAGACUGUUUUCCACAGAGGAUGUACCAUUUUAUGUUCCCACCAGCAAUGUAUGAAUGUUCCAGAUUCUCCACAUCCUCACUAACACUUGUUAUUUUAGGUUUUUUUUUUUUAAGAUUAUAGCUAUCAUAGUACAUGUGAAGUGGCUUCUCGUUGUGGUUCUGAUUUGCAUUUUCCUGAGGUCUAAUGAUAUCACCCAUCAUUUUACAUGCUUAUUGGCCAUUUGUACAUUUUCUUUUGGAGAAAUGUCUGUUAAAAUCUGAUGCCCAGUUUUUAAUCAUGGUUUUUGUCUUUUAUGGUUGAUUUUAGGAGUUCUUUUUGUAUUUUGAAUACUAGGCCCUUAUCAGAUAUAAAAUUUGCAAAUAUUUUCUCCCAUGUCUGUGGGUUAUCUUUUCAUUUCUUAUUAGUGCCCUUUGACUCACCAAAGUUUUUAACUUUAAUCUAUUUUUGGAUCUAUUAUUCCUUUUGUUGCUUGUGCUUUUGGUAGCAUAUCUAAGAAAUUGAUGCUGAUUACCAGAUCAUGAAGAUAUACAUUUAUGUUUUCCUCAAAGAGUUUUGUAAUUUUAGUUCAUAUAUUUAGGUCUUGUUUUAUUUGGAGCCCAUUUUUGUACUUGAUAUGAUGUAACAGUCCAUGUAUAUUUUUUUGCAGUCAGGUUGAUGGUGAUGAACUCUUCAGUUUUUGUAUAUCCAGGAAUGCCUUAAUUUUUCCCUGACUUCUGAAGAAUAGACAUACCAAGAUAUAGAAUCCUUGGUUGAUAGGUUUUUCUUCUGCCGUUUUUAAUGUGUUCUCUCACUACCUUCUGGCUUUCAUGAUUUUAAUGAAAAAUUACUGUUUAGUUUAUUAACUGCUCAUGAUAAGUGGCUUGUCCCUUGCUUUCAAAAUUUUCUCCUUGCCUUUGUCACUAAUAUUUCGAUCUAGGUGUGGAUCUCUUAGAGAUUUUCCUACUUAGUGUUCUUUGAGCUUCUUAGAUGUAGAGAUUAAUGUUUUUAAUCAAAAUAAAAAUUUUCGUCGUCAUUCUAUCUUCAUAUAUUCUUUCUGCGCCUUUCUCUUUCUUCUCUCUCCUGAGAUUCCCAUUAUGCAUAUGUUUUUACACUAGAUUGUGUUCUUCAGGUCUCUGAGGCUCUGUUCAUUUUUCUUAAUUAUUUUCUUUAUUGUUCCUUAGAGUGUAUAAUCUCAAAUGACCUGUAAUUAAGUUAGCCGAUCCUUU